GAAUGUAUCUGUGAGUCAGAUUUUGUUACCAACUUCCUUGUUGAUUGUCACCUCAGAAAUCCCUGUCAUGCAUCUUACAGUGGGGGGGACUUUUUUACAUGUUUAAGGGCUUCUAGUUUGAAUCAGUUAUUAUACACUUAUUAUUCUUUUGAAUUGUCUAUGAAAGCAAUUCACACUUAAACAACUGCUAUGGAAAACAAGUGUAAUUAUUUUAACAAUAACAUUUAUUGGUGGUACUUUAAGCCAGUGCUUAGCAUUAGUAAACUCUGUAUUCUGCGUGUUAACAACUGUAGCAUAUUAUGUCAGAUCGAAGAAACAGCAAUCUACCUUUGAAAUCACCAACUGGCCCAAAGCAGAGGGGCUCUCCAAGGCAACAGCCAAUCAAUACUGCCCUCAUGAGGCCAAGAUGCAUUAUGUCACGUAGUACUGUAUAUAAACCCAUUUAAGAACCUGCAUGCUUUGUACCUAGUACCAUUCACAAAACAUGCUGUUAAUAAAUCUAUUUACAGAUAGGUGAUUAACUUUUGGUGAAUCCUUUUUUCCCCUGAAUAUAUUAAUAAAAGAAGCAUUAGAUUAAGGAUUGAUUAUGUUUCAUGCUGAACUUUUUUUAUCUCACUACUCAAACUGACAGGAUUUAUAAAUGUCAAUGAAACUCUUUUGCACACAAUUCUAAUAAAAUUGAUGUAAAACAAUUCAAUGGAUCUAUGUCUUCAUGUACCAUAUAUAUUAUGUUUAUGAUUGGUAUGUUUCUUUUCCUACAAGAAACACCCUAAUUUCUUUAAAGAAAUGCCUUGGCCAGCGGUCACUUAAGCAAAGUAAUCAGUUAAUCAGUCUCGUAACAGGUCAGCGCUAUGAGUUUUGACCUUUUAUAAUCUUGUAAGCUUAACAAAUGAGUUGUAUCUUUUAGCUAAACUCAAACACAUCAUGACAAAAAUCAUAUUUACACUGCAUGGUGUUGAGGUCAGUGCAAAAGUAAAGUGAAAUUGCAUUCUGUAAGCAUGCAUAAGUCUGUAAACGUGGCACCAAAGCACACACUAGUUCUCAAAAUAAAACGUUAAA